AGAGUUUGAUCCUGGCUCAGGACGAACGCUGGCGGCACGCUUAACACAUGCAAGUCGAACGAGAGAAGAGGAGCUUGCUUUUCUGAUCUAGUGGCGGACGGGUGAGUAACACGUGAGCAAUCUGCCUUUCAGAGGGGGAUACCGAUUGGAAACGAUCGUUAAUACCGCAUAACAUAAUUGAACCGCAUGAUUUGAUUAUCAAAGAUUUAUCGCUGAAAGAUGAGCUCGCGUCUGAUUAGCUAGUUGGUAAGGUAACGGCUUACCAAGGCGACGAUCAGUAGCCGGACUGAGAGGUUGAUCGGCCACAUUGGGACUGAGACACGGCCCAGACUCCUACGGGAGGCAGCAGUGGGGAAUAUUGCACAAUGGAGGAAACUCUGAUGCAGCGAUGCCGCGUGAGGGAAGAAGGUUUUAGGAUUGUAAACCUCUGUCUUCAGGGACGAAAAAAGACGGUACCUGAGGAGGAAGCUCCGGCUAACUACGUGCCAGCAGCCGCGGUAAUACGUAGGGAGCGAGCGUUGUCCGGAAUUACUGGGUGUAAAGGGAGCGUAGGCGGGAUCGCAAGUCAGAUGUGAAAACUAUGGGCUUAACCCAUAAACUGCAUUUGAAACUGUGGUUCUUGAGUGAAGUAGAGGUAAGCGGAAUUCCUAGUGUAGCGGUGAAAUGCGUAGAUAUUAGGAGGAACAUCAGUGGCGAAGGCGGCUUACUGGGCUUUAACUGACGCUGAGGCUCGAAAGCGUGGGGAGCAAACAGGAUUAGAUACCCUGGUAGUCCACGCCGUAAACGAUGAUUACUAGGUGUGGGGGGACUGACCCCUUCCGUGCCGCAGCAAACGCAAUAAGUAAUCCACCUGGGGAGUACGACCGCAAGGUUGAAACUCAAAGGAAUUGACGGGGGCCCGCACAAGCAGUGGAGUAUGUGGAUUAAUUCGAAGCAACGCGAAGAACCUUACCAGGUCUUGACAUCGUAUGCAUAGCUCAGAGAUGAGUGAAAUCUCUUCGGAGACAUAUAGACAGGUGGUGCAUGGUUGUCGUCAGCUCGUGUCGUGAGAUGUUGGGUUAAGUCCCGCAACGAGCGCAACCCUUACUGUUAGUUGCUACGCAAGAGCACUCUAGCAGGACUGCCGUUGACAAAACGGAGGAAGGUGGGGAUGACGUCAAAUCAUCAUGCCCCUUAUGACCUGGGCCUCACACGUACUACAAUGGCUGUCAACAGAGGGAAGCAAAGCCGCGAGGUGGAGCGAACCCCUAAAAGCAGUCUUAGUUCGGAUUGUAGGCUGCAACCCGCCUACAUGAAGUCGGAGUUGCUAGUAAUCGCAGAUCAGCAUGCUGCGGUGAAUACGUUCCCGGGCCUUGUACACACCGCCCGUCACGCCAUGGGAGUCGGUAACACCCGAAGCCUGUAGUCUAACCGCAAGGAGGACGCAGUCGAAGGUGGGAUUGAUGACUGGGGUGAAGUCGUAACAAGGUA
rnacentral:rRNA from 1 species